rnacentral:rRNA from 1 species
CCAGCAACUUGGAGGAAUGUAUAGCGAUAGCUAAUUGCAUCAAAAAUAUGAUGCAAGAUCGAUUUAUUGAAUAAAAUUCUGGGUAGAAUUAUGAUUAUGACAUUAUCUACCCAUGUGUCUUGACCAAAUUACGUGCCAGCAGUCGCGGUAAUACGUAGAAGACUAGUGUUAUUCAUCUUUAAUAGGUUUAAAGGGUACCUAGACGGUAAAUCAAGCCCUAGACGGGACUAAUUUACUAGAGUUACUUAUGAGGGGGUUUUAAAGUACUAAUGGUGUAGAGAUGAAAUUUUGUAAUACCAUUUUUCGAAAGAAAAGUAAUGGCACAGGUAUAGGCGAAAGCAUCCCCUUAUGUGAUAACUGACGUUGAAGGACGAAGGCUUUGAAUCGCGAACAGGAUUAGAUACCCUGGUAGUCAAAGCAGAAAAUAAUGAGUGUUAUAGAUUAGAUAUUAAAGUUUAUUCUAUAAAUGAAAGUGUAAGCACUCCACCUCAAGAGUAAUUUGGCAACAUUGGAACUGAAAUCAUUAGACCGUUUCUGAAACCAGUAGUGAAGUAUGUUGUUUAAUUUGAUAAUCCACAAAAAACCUUACCACAAUUUGAAUAUUUAUAUCAUUGAUAUAAUUACAAGCGUUGCACGGCUGUCUUCAGUUAAUGUCGUGAGAUUUUGGUUAGAUCCAUUAAAUUAACGCAAGCCCUUACUUUAUUUUAAAAUAAAGUUGUUCCCCACUAGAUUGGAUAAGAUAACAGGGAUUAAGACAAGUCAUCAUGGCCUGAAUAUUGUGGGCUAUAGACGUGCCACAUAAACCUUUACAAAAGGAUGUGAAAUUGUGAAAUGGAGCUAAU